rnacentral:lncRNA from 1 species
AUGAGGGAGGUGGGGUCUCGAGCAGGUGGGAUGGUGUGCUGUCACCAUAAGGCAGGCAGUGGCAUGAGACCCAGCACACAGGAGCCUUCAGAGGAGGAAUCACACCUGCCACCUGCAAUUCCAGUAAAGGAUCUUGCUCUGUUGCCCAGGCUGAUAUGCAAUGGUACAAUCUCAGCUCACUACACCUUUGACCUCCCAGGCUCAAGUGAUUCUCCCACUCCAGCCUCCUGAGUAGCUGGGACUGCAGGCCAUGAGUUCUGUCUGCUCCACAGACAUGCAGAGUGGAAGGAAAACCACACAAUACCAGCAACGAUGAAAGAACAGGUGAAGUUGAUUACAUCAACCCUCUGUGACUCUUCUGGAAUCCCUCGGCAGCAAGCUUUUCAGAAUUCCUUAAGUCAAGUCAAAUAGGAUCUUAGAAAAAAAAGCGUUUAAUAUAGUCAUCAGGAGAAUAAAAGAGACAAGAAUAAGAUAAAGAUUUGUUUCUAUUUAUGGGUCAAAAAUCUUAUUUGACAUGAAGUAAUUUGUUUUACUGUGACUUAUACACUUGAGAACAGAUUGUGUGUGUGUGUGCAUACGUGUAUGUGUGCAUAUGUUUAAGUGUGUGUUCAUAUGUGUGUAUGUUUUCAUGCAUGGAUGUGUCUGUGUCUGUUUAGACACCGGGCUUUUAACGUUGUCAGGAAAAUGAAAGCCACAGAGCCCCUGGAGGCUCCUGGAAUUCUCUAACUUAUCCCCUGUGCGUGUUGGAGGGAAGAAUGGAGAGAAGGUGAGUGCUUGGCUGGUUCUCCAGAGCCCUGGGCUUUCCCAGUGGGGGUGUCAGAGUCCCCUGCAGAGCCCCUGGCUCAGAACGUGCUGCUGAAACACCGUUGUUAAGCAUUUUCACUUAGAAACAUUUCACAUUGGUUAGCUCUAGCGAGAGUUUUAACUUUUUCCGGAUAGUCAUACAGGCAGGACUGAGUGGUGAUGAAGACCUCAGUCAAGUUCCCAGCUUAAGACACAUUGAUUAAAAACCUCUGCUUGUCUCUUCUGUGUGGCUUGUGAGGUGAGACAAGAAGCGCCCUGCUUCCCUAGUUUGCAUGGAAGAAGGCUUUAGCAGAAUAUGAAAAUAUGUGGCUGGGGCUGGAUGGCAGCUGAUAACGAUUGGCUAUGAAUAACAUUAGCCAGUAAUUCCAACUGGAGACUGCUAUCCUCCGCUUUUACCUCGGAGAUUAUUAAAUAGAUAAAAUGAGUUUUUCAAAAUCUUUUAAUAGUUACACAUUAUUCUAAGCUUUCAAUUUAUGUGCCUUUCUUUUCCCUUUGUGUUUAUUUAUAUCUGACCAUUUCCCGUCAACUCCA